rnacentral:lncRNA from 1 species
UCAUUUUUGCUCUGUAGGCUGAAAAACACAUGACAAAAAAAGAAAUGUUUAUUUCAAAUAUGCUUGUUACAUGUAUAUCAUGAAUUUAAAUUGUUUGAUGUUGCUAUUGACUUCAUUUUAUUGUACACUUAUAUCAAAUAUUUGUCAUAUGGCUGCAAGGAAAUAGAAUGCUUUGAAAAUAAUUGGAUAAACAUUUAAAGAGAUUUAAUAAAUUUACCAUAUAUUAUUCUUUUAUUGUGCAAAUGAAUUUGUUGUCCUGACACCUAGUAUAUAAGAGGUUAAAAGAACACAGUCAUCAAGCAAAAUGUUUCAAGAGCCCUAAUUGCUCAUCUGGCAAAAAUAGGGCAAUUUUAUAUUGAACAAAUAAGAUAAAAAAUCUGAAAUUUUGUACAUUUUUUUUCCACUUGUCAGAUUUUUCUCUAGAAAGUCUACAUAUGGUAUAAUUGUCGAGGUAUGAAACAGCUAAAGUAUGGAACUCGCUUACACCUGAGACUACUAGAACACCCCAUAGCUACGGGUAUGGUAUGCAUAAUUUUAGUCUAUUUAAGUCUGUGUUUUAUAUGUUAAAUUCAGUUGUAAGAGCACCUCAGACUACAUACUGUUUUUCUUUAAAAUAAAGACCUAGACUAAGAUAUAACCACUUAUUUACUUACUUUAACGUUAGAACACUGUUAUGUACAAAAUAUUAACUUUAAUUUCCAUAGUGAAAAAAAUAAGCUAAAAAUUGCAAUAAAUAUGACAUUUUCUUUGACUACAGGUAUAAACUAGUCAAAAUUAAAUAAGUUAGACAGUAACUAUACAAAGUCUGUAACUAUUCAUUAUAAUGAAAAAUAUCACCUCAAAUAUCUGCAAGGAGGGGCUAAAUAAAAGAGCAAACUGGAUUUAAAAAAUAUAAAUGACUGAAUUGAAUUUGAUACAAUAAAUACCCUUCAAACACAAUUUUGGUAAAGUGAGAAACUAAUAUGACUUUUUUUUAAUAAUGGCAUUAUUGUACAACAGUAUUUAAAGAUGGAGAUUCUGUUUUACAAUGGUUCUUUCAUCUAAAUAAGGCUAGGUUAGCAAAACAGUUCAAUUAACUCAGAUGUACUCUUGCAUGUAAACAAAUCAACACAAAUGUAAUUGUUACCUUUUUGUGUUUAGAUAUAUAAGUUACACUUACACACACUUAGUAUCAAUCUGAUUACAAAGUUUGAUUAGAAAAUAAUAUAUAAAAAUAAAAUGUUUUAUCAUAUGCUGAUUAGUUUCGUCUUGAUUCACACAAACAAUACAUAAACAGAAUCAAACAUACAGAUUAAUUUAUAUAAAAAAAAUAUGAGAAAGAAAAAAGAUGAAAUUAAUAUACAGUUAAUUAAAUACAAACAGUUUGAUUACAAUAAUGAUAUUAAAUGUAAAUAUAUUUAUGAAUGUUACUAUAUAAUCCUAUGAAUACACCAAGGAUUUGUAUAGUAAGAAUAAAAAAAAGUACCUGAAGAAAUUAAAAUAGAACUUGUUGCCAAAAUACUAAAUCAUUCAGUAGAAAGGACUUUCAUGGAAAUGAUGAUAUUUUAUUACUUUUGUGCAUUUGAGGUUGAUUAAUUUUCAAUUGAAAUCCCUUGAAUGACUCCUAACCAUCCCACAAUUUUGUUUUAAUCUAAGGUAUACUGUACUGUGUACAUGAAUUAAAUACUCACAAAACUUAAUAUAGAACUGUUGUGUAAUAUGAUAUGCAUGUCAACAAAUGAAAAAAUAAAUUUUAUUACAAAUCCAAAAAGUGAUGAAGAAUUUGGGUUUGUAAAAAAAUAUUGAUGUUUGGACGAAUUGAAAAAUAUAGGACCUUAAUUAAAGAAAACUUGAUAUAUAUAUAACAAUGAAUAAAAUCUAUAAUACAUCUGGAAUUUUUUUUAGAUAGACAUGGAAAAAAAAUGAAUAUUUUAUUGAAAAACAAAAUCGCCAUAUAUUCACAGUUAUGAAAGUUACAGUUUCAUAUUGUCAAACAGGCAUUUCAUAUUUAUCUGUGGCUUCAAUCAUCAGCAAAUGCCAAUUUGAAUUUUAGUACUUUGGAAUUUUGAAGAGUUAUUAUUAAAGGUGCAUGUUUUUAUUCAACUGCCCCACUUAAAAAAAAAAAUCCAAAAGGAGUGAAUAUGGAAUCAUACUUCUUUUUUCAUUUUAUUUUAUUUUUUACAUCCAAUAUGUAAACCUUAUCAUGCCUUGACCAUUUAAAUUGCUGAUCAAGAAAAAAGAGAAAAUCACCAAAAUAAAAAAAAAAGAAAUCAAUAAACAGAAAU